ACCUAGUGAUGUGGGCAUUUUUGGAGUAGGUCCCUAAAGCGCUCCCAGAUCUCGAAAAAUAGUUCCCUAUCCAUUUGUGAGAAACUUGUGAUGGCUUUUCCAAAACU